rnacentral:snoRNA from 1 species
UCACAUGAUGAAUAAGAGCUUUGCUCGAUAAUCCCAGCUCGUCGAUGGCCUCAUUAUUAUAAUCCAACCAGAGGUCAUAUGAGAUGAAGUCCCGUCUGAUUAG